rnacentral:misc_RNA from 1 species
CGCACAUUGCACCUUUUGGUAUUCCGAAAGGUAUGCCUGUUCGAGCGUCAUUUCACCUUCUCAACAUUAAUUUGUUGGUAUUGGAUUUUUUGAAUUAAAUUUCAUGUCCUAAAGAUAAAGAUUCAAUUUUAAAUUUUUGUCUACAACGAGCUUUUAUUUAGCAAGUACAUAAAGAUUUAAGAAAAGGAUUAAACCCUCCAAUUUUUUUCAGGUUGACCUCGAAUCAGGUAGGAUUACCCGCUGAACUUAA